rnacentral:misc_RNA from 1 species
GUCUUAUCAACUUGGAAGUAUGAGUCUCGUGCAUGACUAAACAUCCUUUUCUGAAAUGAUUAUUAAUUAUUUUAGUAAAGAGAGGGUUGAAAUAACUUUAGUGACAACCAAAAGAAAUCAGAGAACCAUGUAGAAACUACAUUCCAAAAUUAUGACUACAUCAAGGGGCCCACUAGUGAAUAUUCACAGACCAAUAUUAUGGAUUGAAAAACCAGGGAGCCAAA